UUUCAGCCGUAAAUAGAAAUAUUAAAAAAGGCAGGAAGAUUUUUCUGUUUAGCAAAAGUGACAAUAACCAGAUUUCAGAGUACCUGACGGCUCAACACAAAAGUUUUGUCUCAAGUACAGAUAGUGUUGAGGAUCAGUGGACAAAGUUCAAAACCAUCGUACAAUAUGCAUCGUAAGACAUGGAAAAGAGCCACCGUGAUACAACAACUGACUUAGAACACUGCUGCGGGAGCAAAGGGAACUUCACAGCAAACAUAAACAUAGCCAAAGCCUUGUAGACAAACAAAAAUUACGCGAAGUGAAAUGUUGUGUGAGGAGGGCUAUGCAAGAGUCGUUCAAUGAAUUCAAAAGUAAAGUUCUAUGUACUGACUUGACAGAAAAUCGUAAGAAAUUUUGGUCUUAUGUCAAAGUGGUAGGUGGAUCAAAACAAAAUGUCCAGACACUCUGUGACCAAAAUGGUACUGAAACAGAGGAUGACAGACUAAAGGCCAAAAUACUAAAUGUCUUUUUCCAAAGCUGUUUCACAGAGUAAGACUGCAUUGUAGUUCCUUCUCUAGAUUGUCGCACAGAUGACAAAAUUGUAGAUAUCGAAAUAGACAACGGAAGGAUAGAGAAACAAUUAAAAUCGCUCAAAAGAGGAAAGGCCGCUGGACCUGAUGGGAUACCAGUUCGAUUUUACACAGAGUAUGCAAAGGAACUUGCCCCCCUUCUUGCAGCGGUGUACCGUAGGUCUCUAGAAGAGCAUAGCUUUCCAAAGGAUUGGAAAAGGGCACAGGUCAUCCCCGUUUUCAAGAAGGGACGCCGAACAGAUGUGCAGAACUAUAGACCUAUAUCUCUAACGUCGAUCAGUUGUAGAAUUUUGGAACAUGUAUUAUGUUCAAGUAUAAUGACUUUUCUGGAGACUAGAAAUCUACUCUGUAGGAAUCAGCAUGGGUUUCGAAAAAGACGAUCGUGUGAAACCCAGCUCGCGCUAUUCGUCCACGAGGCUCAGAGGGCCAUAGACAUGGGUUCCCAGGUAGAUGCCGUGUUUCUUGACUUCCGCAAGGCGUUUGAUACAGUUCCCCACAGUCGUUUAAUGAACAAAGUAAGAGCAUAUGGACUAUCAGACUAAUUGUGUGAUUGGAUUGAAGAGUUCCUAGGUAACAGAACACAGCAUGUCAUUCUCAAUGGAGAGAAGUCUUCCGAAGUAAGAGUGAUUUCAGGUGUGCUGCAGGGGAGUGUCGUAGGGCCGUUGCUAUUCGCAAUAUAAAUAAAUGACCUCGUGGAUGACAUCGGAAGUUCACUGAGGCUUUUUGCGGAUGAUGCUGUGGUAUAUCGAGAGGUUGUAACAAUGGAAAAUUGUACUGAAAUGCAGGAGGAUCUGCAGCGAAUUGACGCAUGGUGCAGGGAAUGGCAAUUGAAUCUCAAUGUAGACAAGUGUAAUGUGCUGCGAAUACAUAGAAAGAAAGAUCCCUUAUCUCAUUUAGCUACAAUAUAGCAGGUCAGCAACUGGAAGCAGUUAAUUCCAUAAAUUAUCUGGAAGUAUACAUUAGGAGUGAUUUAAAAUGGAAUGAUCAUAUAAAGUUGAUCGUUGGUAAAGCAGAUGCCAGACUGAGAUUCAUUGGAAGAAUCCUAAGGAAAUGCAAUGUGAAAACAAAGGAAGUAGGUUACAGUAUGCUUGUUCGCCCACUGCUUGAAUACUGCUCAGCCGUGUGGGAUCCGUACCAGAUAGGGUUGAUAGAAGAGAUAGAGAAGAUCCAACAGAGAGCAGCGCGCUUCGUUACAGGAUCAUUUAGUAAUCGCGGAAGCGUUACGCAGAUGAGAGAUAAACUGCAGUGGAAGACUCUGCAAGAGUAGCUCGGUACGGGUUUUUGUUGAAGUUUCGAGAACAUACCUUCACCGAGGAGUCAAGCAGUAUAUUGCUCCCUCCUACGUAUAUCUCGUGAAGAGACCAUGAGGAUAAAAUCAGAGAGAUUAGAGCCCACACAGAGGCAUACCGACAAUUCUUCUUUCCACGAAAAAUACAAGACUGGAGUAGAAGGGAGAACUGACAGGUACUCAAGGUACCCUCCGCCACACACCAUCAGGUGGCUUGCGGUGUAUGGAUGUAGAUGUAGACACAUAGACAACUGUUUUUCCCUCAUUCAGUUUGUGAAUGGAAUAGGAAAGGAAAUUAUUAGUAGUGGUCCAAGGUACCCUCCUCCAAAUGCCUUAUGGUCGCUUGUGGAGUAUCUGUGCAGAUGUAGUUAUAGACUUACACUACCACUUCGAGAACUGUACAUAUUAUUGUUCCAGAAGAACUUUGAUGCAACUGCAAAAUUUGUCAAAUCAACUUUAUUGCUUCAGUCAUCUCAGAAAGAGGUAGUGCUUACAGUCAAACAUCAUCUUAACUGCUGUUAUACAUCGUGCCACUAUAAGAUAGUUACGUCUUUGUGGAAAUAUCGAAUGUUGUGACAAAGGUUGGGAAGAACAUCGUCGUAACUGGCAGUUGUGUUUUUCAGUUUGAUGAGUGAAGUAACAUAUCCAGUGAAACGACAAUGCAAGUGUUGAAUAGUGGGAAUUGAGAGUCGCUUCAACUCAUGUCCUGGAUGUGAUAAUGAUGGACAAAAAGAGUGAUCAAACAAAGAAGAUCAUGCACCUUGCUGUUGAAAGGCUAAUGGAAGAUAACAAAAAGACAAGGGAGAUACAUUUUUUUGUGAGAAGUGAAACACAAACAUGAUCCAGCACUUUAGAGGAACAGCCAUCAAUCCCACAUUGUGAAAUAACAAAAAACAAGUGAGCAAGGUGGAGCCACAGACAUCAACAUCAAAUCAUAAGUUCAACGUGACACAAAUGACGGAAGCUUCAAGUGUGUAUGUGAUUGAAAGGGCAAACACGACAAAAUCUGUUUUGAAAAGAUUAACAUUGACAACUCCUUUGCUGAACAGCAAUUCUGAAAGCAGUUCAGAUUUGUCCUCUGGUUCAAGCGACAAUUAUCAACUGUCAAGCAACAAUGACUACUAUCAGCCAUCAAGCAGCGAUGAAUCGUAAAAUUCAAGUGAAAGAUCACUCACCAACAAAGAAAAAUGUCCCAUUAAAAAACCUAAAGAAAGAAUGCAGAAUGUUAGUGAUUGCCAGAGUAAAAGCUAAAACAUUGAGAAACAGUGAAAAAAUUAUAUAACAAGAACAAGCAAAAUUGUCAAGGCUCAAAAAAUGGGUGCUGCGUGUACAGAUAAAUGUAUCCUCUCUUUACAUAGAAAGUGGUAGAACACAACAGGCAUCAGCUGUCCAUGAGCUCCUGGGUGCUGGGAACAUUACAAAGCCAACGGGAUUUUCUGAAUUCAUGCAUUGACACACUCAUUCUCAAAUAUCAUCGCAUUACUGCCAGAGAAGCUAGAAAGCUGAACCGCUUUCUAUUUGAUGAAAGAUGAGCAGAAGAUUCAUGUGUGUAAAACUUUCUGAUAAACGCUUUGGAAAUAAUGGAAAGGCGAGUCCGUACUGUUAUCAAGGGGAAAAUGACUGGACUGAGAUGGCACCUGCGGACAAAAUGGCCCAACAUGAAAAGCAUUGUAAGACUGAUCAAAAAAUCUUGGAGUCAUGUAGGAAUCACAUAAUGUCAAUUCCCUUUAUUGAGAGUCACUUUGCAAGGCGUGACAUAACAAGAGCUUUAUCGACGGUAACUUAUCCAUCACUGAAAUGCACAGAGAUUACCCUUCAGCAUGAUGUUCCAUUAACCUGCCAGCUGUGAAUUAUGACACUUACAUGCAUAUAUUCAAUCCUGAAUUUAAUAUUGGAUUUCUUUGCACCAAAGGGAAAUCAGUGCGUCCAAUGUGAAGUUUACAAAAAGCUACAGAUGAAGAGAAAGCAGAAAUACAAGAUGCAUUUCAAGAACAUCAGGAAGAAAAGAACUGAGUCACAUGGAAAAAAAACAUGGACAAGGAGAUACAACUAGCUGUUCAUGAUUUAAAAGCUGUCUUACUAGUGCCUACAAGACAAACAGCUGCCUUUUUCUACAAAUCAAGGCACGACAGUUUCACAGUGCCUAAGUAUUGCAAGGGUUUCUGUGAUUCUCUUUCCACAUAAAUGUAAUGUGUUGCUUUUUAUAUCACUUGUUUGGAAGUUCUUUCUUUUGCUGAGUGUAUUACUUUAUUUCAUUU